rnacentral:rRNA from 1 species
CGCGUAGGCGGCUUGGUAAGUAGGGGGUGAAAUCUUGCGGCUCAACUGCAGGGCUGCCUCCUAAACUGCCUGGCUGGAGCACGGUAGAGGCAGAUGGAAUUCCCGGUGUAGCGGUGGAAUGCGUAGAGAUCGGGAAGAACAUCGGUGGCGAAGGCGGUCUGCUGGGCCGUUGCUGACGCUGAGGCGCGACAGCGUGGGGAGCAAACAGGAUUAGAUACCCUGGUAGUCCACGCCGUAAACGAUGGGUACUAGGCGUCGGGGGGAGCGACCCCUUCGGUGCCGUCGCUAACGCAGUAAGUACCCCGCCUGGGGAGUACGGCCGCAAGGCUGAA